UACGUAGGUGGCGAACGUUUAUCCGGAAUUAUUGGGCGUAAAGGGUGCGUAGAUGGCCUGAUAAGUUAGCAGUGGGAAAUCGAGGCUCAACCUCGUGGAAGCUGGUAAUACUGUCAGGCUCGAGUGCAGGAGAGGUUAACGGAACUCCAUGUGGAGCGGUAAAAUGUGUAGAUAUAUGGAAGAACACCAAUAACGGCGAAGGCAGUUAACUAUUCUGUUACUGACAUUGAGGCACGAAGCGUGGGGAGCAAACGG
rnacentral:rRNA from 1 species